CCUACGGGAGGCUGCAGUGAGGAAUAUUGGUCAAUGGACGAGAGUCUGAACCAGCCAAGUCGCGUGAAGGAUGACUGUCCUAUGGGUUGUAAACUUCUUUUAUAAAGGAAUAAAACGAGGCACGUGUGCCGUUUUGCAUGUACUUUAUGAAUAAGGAUCGGCUAACUCCGUGCCAGCAGCCGCGGUAAUACGGAGGAUCCGAGCGUUAUCCGGAUUUAUUGGGUUUAAAGGGAGCGUAGAUGGGUUGUUAAGUCAGUUGUGAAAGUUUGCGGCUCAACCGUAAAAUUGCAAUUGAUACUGGCAGUCUUGAGUACAGUUGAGGGAGGCGGAAUUCGUGGUGUAGCGGUGAAAUGCUUAGAUAUCACGAAGAACUCCGAUUGCGAAGGCAGCUUACUAAACUGCCACUGACGUUGAUGCUCGAAAGUGUGGGGAUCAAACAGGAUUAGAUACCCUAGUAGUC
rnacentral:rRNA from 1 species